AGAUCUGCCUGUGAUGGUUUGGCUGAGUGGAAUUGGUUGUGUUGGAGCUUAUGGUAACAGCCUCUUUCCUGCCCUUUAACACAACCUUCUCACUGAUGAUCAUUUGCAG
ensembl:miRNA Mir6992 microRNA 6992